rnacentral:rRNA from 1 species
GACGGAGGGUGCAAGCGUUGUUCGGAAUUACUGGGCGUAAAGCGCACGCAGGCGGUCGCGUAAGAGUGCGGGGACAGUGGGCGGCUUAACUGCCCAAGGGUCGCACAGACUGCGUGACUGGAGGGCCAGAGAGGGACCUGGAAUUCCGGGUGGAGCGGUGAAAUGCGUAGAGAUCCGGAGGAACACCAAUGGCGAAGGCAGGGUCCUGGCUGGCACCUGACGCUCAUGUGCGAAAGCCAGGGAGGCGAACGGG